CCUUCACCUUUAAGACAGUUUACAAAGCUGCUCCCUGCAAGCCAAUACAGAGGGCCUUUUGCUCACAUCCUGGAAAGAAAGUAAAGGCUGAGACCCUGCUGCACAGACUGCUCCCUGGCAAAGGAAGAAGGGGAAAUGAAAGUGGAAAUGGAGUGAAGGGGAAAAAAUCAGGCAAGAGCAGUGAUGAGCAUUCUGGGCAUGGAGGAGCUAGACAGCAUCACUUCAUACAGGUUUCCCAUAUUUCUUUGAAGUCUUCAUCUUCAGCAUUCCUUGUGGCUAUCACAGAGUAUCAUGCUGAGAAUCAGUGAAAUAUAAUACCGAGGCAAAACCAAAGAAGUUAAAACAUUUAAAGAGAAAGAAUUUCUAGAAUUUCUUGCCUAUAUUCAUGGAAGCUUGUUUCUAAUUAACUACGUUCCCAUCUGUCUGAUCUGUGUAUUAUAGGGGUUAAAGCUGGCUAAAGUAUAAAACUUGAAUUGACUGAGUUAAAAAAGUCAAAUCACCCACAUUAUCUGCUUGUAGACACACUCCUCUGUGACGGGAUCUGUUAUAGUCUGUCAGAAAUAAUGUGUUUUUGGAGCCAAGAUGGUGGAGUAAAAGCAGUGACUUGCUUGAGCUCUCCCCCAAACCCCACCAAAUACCUGUAAAA